AUUGAACGCUGGCGGCGUGCCUAAUACAUGCAAGUCGAGCGGAGCGGGGACGGGGGAGUAACACGUGGAUAACUUCCUAUAAGACUGGGAUUACUUCGUGAAAACGGAGCUUAUCCGGAUACUUAUCGAUUGAUCCACGCUGCAUUAGCUAGUAGGUAGGGUAACGGCUUACCAAGGCAACGAUGCAUAGCCGACCUGAGAGGGUGAUCGGCCACAUUGGAACUGAGACACGGUCCAGACUCCUACGGGAGGCAGCAGUAGGGAAUCUUCCGCAAUGGGCGAAAGCCUGACGGAGCAACGCCGCGUGAGUGAUGAAGGUCUUCGGAUUGUAAAACUCUGUUAUUAGGGAAGCGGUACCUAAUCAGGAAGCCCCGGCUAACUACGUGCCAGCAGCCGCGGUAAUUC
rnacentral:rRNA from 1 species